CUCCCGCAGUUAGGUCAAACUCAUGCUGGUAGCUUCGAGAACACUGUCCGACCAUCUCGUCCUCUGUCGUCCCCUUCUCCUUGUGCCCUCCAUCUUUCCCAACAUCAGGGUCUUUUUCCAGGGAGUCUUCUCUUCUCAUGAGGUGGCCAAAGUAUUGGAGCCUCAGCUUUAGGAUCUGUCCUUCCAGUAAGCACUCAGGGCUGGUUUCCUUCAGAAUGGAUUGGUAUGAUCUUCUUGCAGUCCAUGGGCCUCUCAAGAGUCUCCUCCAGCACCAGAAUUCAAAAGCAUCCAUUCUUCGGCGAUCAGCCUUCUUUAUGGUCCAGCUCUCACUUCCACACAUCACUACUGGGAAAACCAUAGCUUUAACUAUACGGACCUUUGUUGGCAAGGUGAUGUCUCUGCUUUUUAAGAUGCUGUCUAGGUUUGUCAUUGCUUUUCUCCCAAGAAGCAGGCGUCUUUUAACUUUGUGACUGCUGUCACCAUCUGCAGUGAUCAUCUUCAUGGUCCAGCUCUCACUUGCAUACAUCACUACUGGGAAAACCAUAGCUUGAACUAUACGGACUUAGUAAGAGAGAAGAUGCAAGCAGGAUCCUGUCCUGUUGCACGGGUGGCACACUGAACGUUUUAAGUGCAGAAAAGCAUUUAUUUUAUUUAUCUGCGGUUACAUUUAUAGCCCAAGUUUCCUCCAGGGACCUCAACGUGGCGUGGGGUGGAUUUCCCUCCUCACCGUUUUAUCAGCACAACAACUCGGCGAGGUAGGCAAGUCAGGCUGAGACACCAUGACUGGCCCAAGGUCACCCAGCUGAGCAGUGACUUGUCCAAAAUGCUAACCACUUCAUCUCUCUUCUUAAACAAAGCUUGAGCAAGGCACACAUGUGCCAUUUAUUUAUUUAUUUAUUUAUUUAUUUAAUCACAGGGUGGGUUUUUGUUUUUUAAAAAAUUUAAAUACCAGAAUUAAUUCCUAUGAUUGCUAGGUACUCAUGUCAGGGCCUAAACAGGUGAGCACCUUUAGGCACCUUUGGAAGGUAAAGGGCAUUUCUGGAGAACACCUGCUCUCUGGGUUGUGGGGCCCUGAGGCUGGAUAUAUUAUCAAUUAUUUUUAUUAAUUAUUAUAAUUAUUAAUUAACCAAUUAAUUAAUUAUAAUAAUGAUAAUGAUAAUUUUACUUAUACCCACCCCUCCCUAGCCAAGACCGGGCUCAGGGCGGCUAACGCCAGGUAUAAAAACAAUUGAUUAAAAUACAACUUAAAAACAAGAUUAAGUACAACAUUAAAAUGCAGCCUCAUUUCAGUAGAAACUCAAAUGUCAAAUCUUCACCAAGGCCAACUAUCCAGACUGGUCCUAUGUGGCUAGAAAAAAGCCAAGGAAGUCCCCAAAUAGGAGUUGACUGUUGAUUGCAUUUUUAUCCCACCCUUUCCUCCAAGGGGCGCAUGUGGCUCUCCCCUUCCUCAUUUAAUAAUAAUAAUAAUAAUAAUAAUAAUAAUUUAUUAUUUAUACUCUGCCCAUCUGGCUGGGUUUCCCCAGCCACUCCGGGCGGCUUCCAACAAAACACUAAAAUACAAUAACCUAUUAAACAUUAAAAGCUUCCCUAAACAGGGCUGCCUUCAGAUGUCUUCUAAUCCCCACAAGGCAGAGAGUAAGCAAGCAGAGGACUGGCCUAAGGUCAGCCAGUGAGCUUCACAACAGCCGACUAGGAAUUUGAACCCUGGUUUCCUAGGCCCUAGUCCAACACUCUAACCACUCCACUCCACUACCUAUAUGGAACGUUCUUGAGGUUCACCUGCCCAGACGCACUCGCCUGCAGAAUGCAUUUAGUGUGCCCGUUUCUGAGGCUAUUAGCCCUAGAAGGGGAAGCUUCAGAAGGAAGCAACUGCCCGUUGACAUACCUGGAUUUUGCUAUGAAUGCAGAGGCCAAGGGAUAGAGGGAUGGGGGUGAAAUUUAACGAUGGACCCAGCUAAUUUGCACUUCCCAAGUCAAUAAACGAAGCGAAACACCAGCAUCCUUUGAAAUCUGCGCUGCUCCAAAUUUCGCUCUCUACCGACUUGUGCAAAAUUGCAAAUACUGCCCUAGGGUAAACUGUGCAUAGAAUCAUAGAAUCAUAGAAUCAUAGAGUUGGAAGAGACCACAAGGGCCAUCGAGUCCAAUCCCCUGCCAAGCAGGAAACACCAUCAGAGCACUCCUGACAUAUGGUUGUCAAGCCUCUGCUUAAAGACCUCCAAAGAAGGAGACUCCACCACACUCCUUGGCAGCAAAUUCCACUGUCGAACAGCUCUUACUGUCAGGAAGUUCUUCCUAAUGUUUAGGUGGAAUCUUCUUUCUUGUAGUUUGGAUCCAUUGCUCCGUGUCCGCUUCUCUGGAGCAGCAGAAAACAACCUUUCUCCCUCCUCUAUGUGACAUCCUUUUAUAUAUUUGAACAUGGCUAUCAUAUCACCCCUUAACCUCCUCUUCUCCAGGCUAAACAUGCCCAUCUUCCUUAGCCGUUCCUCAUAAGGCAUCGUUUCCAGGCCUUUGAACAUUUUGGUUGCCCUCCUCUGGACACGUUCCAGUUUGUCAGUGUCCUUCUUGAACUGUGGUGCCCAGAACUGGACACAGUACUCCAGGUGAGGUCUGACCAGAGCAGAAUACAGUGGCACUAUUACUUCCCUUGAGCUAGAUGCUAUACUCCUAUUGAUGCAGCCCAGAAUUGCAUUGGCUUUUUUAGCUGCCGCGUCACACUGUUGGCUCAUGUCAAGUUUGUGGUCAACCAAGACUCCUAGAUCCUUUUCACAUGUACUGCUCUCAAGCCAGGUGAAAUGCGUGCGUUUAUGGGGGGGGAAUGCAUUCUUUUAGGGGAAACUGCUUUGCAAAAAUGUGUGCAGAAGGCAAACCUGCAUGCAAGCGCAUGCAUAUUAGUUGAAAUUUGCUGGCGAAUUUUAAUGAGGACUUUAAAAAUAAAAUUGCAAACCGGGCAUGUGGAGAACUGAAUGUGGAGAAAUGAGAAACUGAGAGAGUUGACAGAUCCGCCCAUCCCUACUGGGUUGACUGAGAAACAACUGAGUGCUUUGCAUUUAAGUUAUUCAAAUAUUUUGAGGCUGCAAUCCUAUACACACUUCCCUGGGAAGGCCCGAUGGGACUUCUGAAUAGACAUUUGUAGGAUGGCACCAUUGAGUAACAGUGCAAUCCGACUAAUACAUGUUCAGAUGUGAACUCUGUUUGGUUUAGUACAUUCGAGUAGAUUUUAUGCCCUUAAAGCAAUUUUUGAAAGGGGAAGAAAUGGAGGCGGUGAGAGAUUUUACUUUCUUGGGCUCCAUGAUCACUGCAGAUGGUGACAGCAGCCACGAAAUUAAAAGACGCCUGCUUCUUGGGAGAAAAGCAAUGACAAACCUAGACAGCAUCUUAAAAAGUAGAGACAUCACGUUGCCAACAAAGGUCCGUAUAGUAAAAGCUGUGGUUUUCCCAGUAGUGAUGUAUGGAAGUGAGAGCUGGACCAUAAAGAAGGCUGAUCGCCGAACAAUGGAUGCUUUUGAAUUCUGGUGCUGGAGGAGACUCUUGAGAGUCCCAUGGACUGCAAGAAGAUCAAGCCUAUCCAUUCUUAACGAAAUCAGCCCUGAGUGCUCACUGGAAGGACAGAUCCUGAAGCUGAGGCUCCAAGACUUUGGCCACCUCAUGAGAAGAGAAGACUCCCUGGAAAAGACCCUGAUGUUGGGAAAGAUGGAGGGCACAAGGAGAAGGGGAUGACAGAGGACGAGAUGGUUGGACAGUGUUCUCGAAGCUACCAGCAUGAGUUUGACCCAACUGCGGGAGGCAGUGGAAGACAGGAGUGCCUGGCGUGCUCUGGUCCAGGGGGACACGAAGAGGCGGACACGACUAAACGACUAAACAACAACAACAAAGCAAUUUUGCAAUAGCCAAACUGCAAUGCGGCACCGUCUGUAAAAGAAAAGAACGGAAAGCAUAUAGAACCUCCAUAUGCAGGGCUUGCCUACCUCUGAAUAAAAAAUAAGCUCAUGCGCAUUAAUUUAUAUACCCCCUUAUGAGCUUCUCAGAGGAAUCUGGGCUGACCACGAGGUGCUGGGAAGGAGGAACAUUUUGCCUAAACCAGCAGGACUCUUUCAUGUGUUCUUAUGCGCAAGCUUUUCAACCCAAGACUGUGUUGCAACGCUGAUUCCCACCCCCCUUUCCCCCCUCUUUGCUGCUGCACAGUUAUUUUCUCCACCCUGAGCCUCCCCCCCUCCCCACCACCCGCCCCUCCUUGCUCUUUUCCAAGUCAGGGGAGAAAUUUCCAGCUAAUGUAGAGAUAAUUACCGCCUCUCAGCCAGGCCAAGGCAAUUAGUGGAGAGAUUUGGGGGCCUCGUUUGUUCAAAGAUAAAAUGCGUUAACACUCAAUUAAUUCCUUCAGAUCCGGGGCUGAUAAGGCGAUGGGAAGUUACAGGCUGGCAAUUAAACAAACAAGUCCAUGUUCUUUGAAUUUCGGGGGGGGGGGGAGCUGGGAAGGGGGGGCAGGAAUCUGAGAAAGAGAGAGAGAGAGAGAGAGAAUAUUCAUAUGCACGGAUAGUGGUAGAGAGGGAACGAAUAGGAGAAAGAAGGACGGAAGAUGUCAUGACUAACAGCCGUUGACAGACGUGUGAGUAGCACCCAUUGUCACAUCAUGUUGCAGGGAAUUCCACAAGCUAAUUGUGGGUCAUAUGUAGAGCCGGCCCUACCACCUGGUAGAGCGUGGGUAGGCAAACUAAGGCCCGGGGGACGGAUCCGGCCCAAUCGCCUUCUAAUUCCGGCCCACGGACGGUCCAGGAAUCAGCGUGUUUUUACAUGAGUAGAAUGUGUCCUUUUAUUUAAAAUGCAUCACUGGGUUAUUUGUGGGGCCUGCCUGGUGUUUUUACAUGAGUAGAAUGCGUGCUUUUAUUUAAAAUGCAUCUCUGGGUUAUUUGUGAGGCAUAGAAAUUCAUUCAUUCCCCUAAAAAAAAUAUAGUCCAGCCCCCCACAAGAUCUGAGGGACAGUGGACCGGUUCCCUGCUGAAAAAGUUUGCUGACCCCUGUGGUAGAGUGAGGUGGCCUCCUCAAACAGCUGGUGCUGGAAGGUAGAGAAUGGCCUCAAUUUGGAGGGGGAGCUGUGGGGACCACGUGGAUCGGCCCUGUGCCCCCUAAGCUAGACAGCUGCCCUCAGGAGGGCACCUGUGUUCAACUUCUAGUAUGAAAUAAGGUUCAACUUCUAGUAUGAAAUAAGGUUCAACUUCUAGUAUGAUCACCUUAGAUGUUUGCGGAAUGGCAGAGGCGAGGCACCCAUCUUGGUGUUGUUUUUUUGUCUCAGCAAAAAUUUAUUGCGCUUCUUAAUAAGGAAGGAAAUAGUAGUAGUAAUAAUAAUAAUAAUAAUAAUAAUAAUAAUUUAUUAUUUAUACCCCGCCCAUCUGGCUGGGUUUCCCCACCACUCUGGGCGGCUUCCAACAGAAUAUUAAAAUACAAUAGUCCGCCAAACAUUAAAAGCUUCCCUAAACAGGGCUGCCUUCUAAAAGUCUGGUAGUUGUUUUUCUCUUUGACAUCUGGUGGGAGGGCUUAUUUGGGAGACGCAGAAGGUGCUGGGAUACAGUGCUGGUAUGUCUACUUGCCCAUUGGCAAACGGGGGCUCACAGGUUUGCAUAACAUUUGCAUGCACUGAUUUUCACGUACAGGGGCAAAUAUAGAAGCAACUAGUAUAACUUAAGCAGAGAGGCAAUUCAGGAGAAACAUAGUGCAAUUCAAGAUGAAAUAUUGGGGGGGGCAAUUUGAAGCCCCCACCUCCCCUCUAAGGAAGACCUUCAUUUAGAGGGGGCCUUUGUUGGACUGGACUGUCCCUCUGCUACACAGGCCGUCCCUCGCUGCCUCUUAGGUACAGAGCACACUGCUUUCUGGAUCCUCCUAAUGACAUUUCUGCUCUAAGCAGCCAAUUUGGCUGCAUUGGCGCUUGGGCCAGUCCUGGAAAUUAGCCCUGGGGAGUGGUUUCGGAGGGCUCCCCCCAAUUACAAAGACAUAAAGGGCUUUGUUUUAAGAUGCUGCUACCUUGCCGAAGGAUGUGAGCGUUUCCUCCCCUCCAGUGGCCUCUGCGUAGCAAGAGAGAGGAACAAGCGAAGGCAGGCGGGAGGAAAAAAGAAUGGAGAAUACGAUAAAUAAAUCACAGCUAAAUGUCAACACAGCGAAGACGCAGAAGGCAAGGAGAGAAUGCAGAGCGGAAGGUGGAGGAGAGAGGAAACUCGCGAGGUCCGCCCAGGGAGGAUGAGAGCCACAGGUCUGGAGAAGAGAAGGCCAGGCCAGGCAGCCUGGAAACAAACCGUCCAGGAGUUUUUCUAAUGACUCCGAGAUCUGUAUGGUCAGCCACCAAGCAACCCAUUUGGAUGGAGGUCUUUUGAAUUAGCGCUGAAUUAGCGCUGUUCACAUUUCUUUGUACAGGAAUACAUACCAUAUUUUUUGCUCUAUAAGAAGCACCAGACCACAAGACGCACCUAGUUUUUGGAGGAGGAAAACAAGAAAAAAAAAUAUUCUGAAUCUCAGAAGCCAGAACAGCAAGAGGGAUCGCUGCGCAGUGAAAGCAGCAAUCCCUCUUGCUGUUCUGGCUUCUGGGAUAGCUGCGCAGCCUGCAUUCGCUCCAUAAGAUGCACACACAUUUCCCCUUACUUUUUAGGAGGGAAAAGUGAGUCUUAUAGAGCAAAAAAUACGGUAUAUAUAUUGUGUGCGUAUUUGUUGAAGCAGGCCAUUUUCAAAAGAGUAAAUAAAGUUGGUUAUUUUCAGCAGCAUCUUUCGGAAAAGAUGCUGGGCGCUUUAUUCUGUGUGGGGGUUUUUUGGGGGGGGGGGAGGAAUAAGGUUGCGGUUUAUUAAUUGUGGCCUUUGGAAAUUGCCCCAAGCCCAGUCUAAAACUAACAGAUUUCUCCAAUAUGAUAAUUGAAAGGAAGGUAUUCUCUGAAAAUAUUUUGAAUCUUGCCUAGCACCAGAGAUAAGGAGCUCGGGAAAACACUUUGGGCCGUUGACUUUGAAGUCCAAAAAUGGCACGCAAGGAAGCCACGAAGACCACCCCUUCCCAAGGUGUUCUCCAGUGCGAGCCUGAUUGAAUUGAGUGGGAGCCCAUUUGUUUCAAUGAGGCUUGCACAGGAAUGAGUGCCGUUCUGCCAUAGCUGUCAAGCGUCCCUUAUUUGGCGGGACAGUCCCUUAUCCCAGCGCCAUGUCCCGCCGCUGUCCCUUAUUGAUGAUGUCCCUUAAAUAAGCUACUGAAGGUAAUGGGGCCCUUUCUAUGUCCAGCUGUCCUUUGUCAACAGCAAAUUGUUGCUUUUUUUUGUGUUGAAUAUAUGCUAUAUGGUAAUUUAUGGACCUAAGAGGCAUCUAAAGCCAUUUGCAUGCAACAAAAUAUGUAUUUUAUCAAAGUAAUUGUUGAUCCCUUAUUUUGGCUGCUGAUCCCUUAUUUUCGAGGCUGCUGGUCCCUUAUUUUCAAAUCUGCAAGUUGACAGCUAUGCGUUCUGCAGAUCCUAGCCAUUUCGCUCGUGCACUUGAAACGCAUGCCCAGUGUUUGUUUCAGAGUGCAUUACAACAAAGGGAGAAAGCCAAAAUUCUUCAUGCCAACGUUCAGGCAGAAUUCAGCAAGUUGAUUAGUGAGAAGGACCCUGUGUGAUUGCUCCCCCUUGAAAAGGGAGGAGGGGGGGGAAAGCAAUAUCAACCCACACAAUGGGAUAGGCAAAUGAUAUUUUUAACCCCCUAGCAGCAAAACCCGAUCCAUUUAUUUUGCUUGGCUGCUAGGACUGGAGCGUUCGUUUUACCGCCUUCUACGUUUGCUCCGUCGCACUGUUAAAUAUUUAUCAGACCCGUUUAUUUAGGAAGACAAUUAGUGUCAGGGUUCCUUUAGGAAAAUAAACUCUUUCAAAGAUGGAUAGAACUGCAGAGGGAGAGGGAGAGAGAGAGAAUGAGAAAGGGUGGUGGCGAAGAGAUGGGAAAGGGCACAGCUAAACGCAUACAAAGGAUCUUCAGUCGUACAAAAUGAUUUUUAUUGCUGUAGGGGGGAAAUUGCAGCAAUUCUCCUCCCCAUUUGCAAUAUUUCUUUCUCUCUACCCCCUCCCUUUCCUUCGUUCUUUCAAAGGAAGGAAAAAGAAAAGAGUUUGUUGGCUCAGUUUUGGAAGGAGAGUCGAGAGGUAUGGCGCUCAAAGGUCUGCUGGGAUAAAUGAAAGAGGUGAAUAUUUCAGAUCAGAUCCCAGUCUCUCAAAGCAGUGCAGGGCUGCAGGGUGGCGUGAGGCAGCGCCCCCUUAAAAAAUGUGCCUGGGGCCAUCGCCUUGGCAGCCCCCCAUGCCACGCCCCUGUAAAGCCGUGGUUCUCAAAGGGUUUGUCAUUGCCACCCUGGUGUGGCAGGAGACGAUGGCAAGUGUGGUGGUAAAAUUCAAGGACAAUCAAAGAAACAUCUAAACCAGGGGUCAGCAAACUUUUUCAGCAGGGGGCCGGCCCACUGUCCCUCAGACCAUGUGGGGGGCGGGCGGACUAUAUUUUGAAAAACAAAAAUGAACGAAUUCCUGUGCCCCACAAAUAACCCAGAGAUGCAUUUUAAAUAAAAGGACACAUUCUACUCAUGCAAAAACAUUCACAGGUUGGAUUCAGAAGGCGAUUGGGCCGGAUCCGGCCCCUGGGCCUUAGGUUGCCUACCCAUGAUUUAAACAUUUCAGUGUAGUAUCAAAAUAAUUGUAUACUUUCUGGAAGUCCCGUUUAUUAUAAAGUUGUUGUGUUCUAUGUUACAAAUCAAGCACAGCUAGUUGUUGUUUCUUUCUUGUUUUCCAAUGUAUUCCUUAUCAAUAAAUCAAUAAAUCAAUGUAUUCCUUAUCAAUAAAAAAUUUGGUGGGACACAAGGAAAUUUUUAUUCUGAAAGUGUGGCCCAUCCAAGUUGGUGGCUAUCGCUACAUCUUGCGAGAACUAAUUCCACAGAUGAAAGGCUGUAGCCCAACACGUUUGAGAUGGAACCCCUUAUUCAGAGGUAACCAUAAAAAAUUCCGUAUUAACUGUGAUUUGGCCAAGAGGAGCCUAUUCAGAACAGGUUGACACAGAAGUUCUGCAAACACAAAUAUAUGAAUCAUAUUAUUACAAAUUGAAUCGCUGCUGUCCUCUUGAAUACAAUUUGUAAAAAAACCCUUUAAACAAUAGUUAAGGUAAUAAUGAGAUGAACAUGACUUAGUAUUUUCUUAUUCAUUUAACGCAAGACUUCUCCUUACAGAGAAUGUGGGAAGAGAAUAUAAAAAAAUGGCAGACCAGUGUCAAGUCCUGGCUCUCCCCUCUGGCGUCUAUUGCUUUUCUUACCCUGAGAAGUAAAUGCAGGCUUCCCAGCAGCCCAAAAUAUCAGCCCAAAGGCAAGUGUGUGUGCCGCAACACUGUAUGAUGUCCUGUUCUGCACCCACCUCCCUUCAUACAACCUCUGUCAGGAGUACGAAGUGCCGCGGCUUCUCUGCACAAGGUUUGAUGGACCCAUUCAGUCAACAUCAAUGUAGAGACGUGGCAGAAUUAUCACCCUCAGAGGAGGCUGUCUGCUGUAUCUCUGCGCGAUUCUGUGUUCUUAGCAUGCAUCUUUUCAAUUGCCCUCUGCUGGAAGCAGUUGAUUCUGUGGCACCGCUGGGUGUGAUUGGAGCAACUGUAUCAUUUGCAGUGCAGAGACACAACAAAUGUGCUCCCUCUCACACGGGGUUGCCUGUUGCCUCCCAGAAUUAGUCACCACUAUGGCCUUGCCCUAUAAAGAAGGCUGAUCGCCGAAGAAUGGAUGCUUUUGAAUUCUGGUGCUGGAGGAGACUCUUGAGAGUCCCAUGGACUACAAGGAAAUCAGCCCUGAGUGCUCGCGGGAAGGACAGAUCCUGAAGCAGAGGCUCCAAGACUUUGGCCGCCUCAUGAGAAGAGAAGACUCCCUGGAAAAGACCCUGAUGUUGGGAAAGAUGGAGGGCACAAGGAGAAGGGGACGACAGAGGAUGAGGUGGUUGGACAGUGUUCUCGAAGCUACCAGCAUGAGUUUGGCCAAACUGCUGGAGGCAGUGGAAGACAGAAGUGCCUGGCGUGCUCUGGUCCAGGGGGACACGAAGAGUCGGACACGACUAAACGACUAAACAAAAACAUGGCCUUGCCUCAUUCGACUCGCAUCCACAGCAGUGACUCACGCAGUGAAUGCAAGCAAUCCUUCAACUAAAAUAGUGAGCCUUUUUUCCCUGCUGAAGGCAUCAGUCGUGCCUCUGGUUUUAAUGCAAAAAAAGUACACUUUGGAGGUAAACUGCUUUGUGGGUAUAUGGGUGCCCACACGGGGGCACGCACACACACACACACACACAGAGAGAGAGAGAGAGAGAGUUCAGAUGAAUGAUAGGCAUAUUACCACCUGAGUUACAUCAUCCAUGCACGUUAAUUCCAGGCCUUUUCUGUUUUACAUUAUCUCUCCCUGCACCCCCACUCCUGCUUUCUUUUUUAAAAAAAAUUCAAAACUUUUCUCCUUUCUCAGAAAUGCAAGGGAUGCUUUGGACAAGAAAGUCUUGAUGUUUUAAACCCAUAUUUUCUCCAUUUUGGACUUGGUGCCCCACCAUUCCCCCAAAUCCAGGCGCCCUUUGACCCCAGCGGGGGGGGGGAGGGUUCUGUUUUGUGAUCCUUGAACAUCAUCUGAAGGCAAAACCACGGGAAGUCUGGUUUCUGUACAUUUCAACAAAAGGACAAAAACGCCCCCAGCUGUGUCGAAUUUAUCACUCGCUCCCUAAUUGAUAAUAGGGUGGAUGGAGUGUUGGAAGUAGCAGAUUUCUCUCUCCCCCCAUAUGCCAAGAGGCUCUGCCAAAAGGGGGAAAGGAGGGGCGGGGAGCUCAAGUCGGAACGCAGGAGGAGCGCAAUGAAAAGCCGAAGCCACAGCAGUGACCGGAGGGUGGGACGGUUUAACCCCAGGCAUCUCCAGUUUUGCCAACAUGUUAAACAAAAUAGCCUUUGAAAAUGCGCAGGAGAACAAGAGGGAGGGGAGGGCAGGGGGCAGGUGUUAAAAGAUUCGCGUGCAAACUGCAUUCUCAAGAACAAAAAUUCAUCGCUUUCCCCCCACCCUAUUUUCCCUUGAUCCCAGAGUGUGAGAUUAUUAGAGCUCAUCUGUACAUGUUGUGGACCCAGAAAAUUAAUGCCCCCCCCCCCGCCUCCCCUGAGCUUCCACUGCAUUCUGGACUGUACCAUUUCAGGCUGGGGAUUAUUUUUUAGUUUUGUUUUUUUUUACUGUCCUCCCUUCCUCCCAAAGGAGGGCAGGUAAGCAUGUCAAUAAUAUAAGCUGCCCCUUUUUUGUUGUUGUUGUUUAGUCGUUUAGCUGUGUCCGACUCUUCGUGACCCAUGGACCAGAGCACGCCAGUGUGGUGUAGUGGUUAAGAGUGGUAGCCUUGUGAUCUGGUGAACCGGGUUUGCGUCUCCGCUCCUCCACAUGCAGCCGCUGGGUGACCUUGGGCCAGUCACACUUCUUUGAAGUCUCUCAGCCCCACUCACCUCACAGAGUGUUUGUUGUGGGGGAGGAAGGGAAAGGAGAAUGUUAGCCGCUUUGAGACUCCUUAAAAAGGGAGUGAAAGGCGGGAUAUCAAAUCCAAACUCUUCUUCUUCCUGUCUUCCACUGCCUCCCGCAGUUUGGUCAAACUCAUGCUGGUAGCUUCCAGAACACUGUCCCACCAUCUCGUCCUCUGUCGUCCCCUUCUCCUUGUGCCCUCCAUCUUUCCCAACAUCAGGGAGUCUUCUCUUCUCAUGAGGUGGCCAAAGUCUUGGAGCCUCAGCUUCAGGAUCUGUCCUUCCAGUGAGCAGUCAGGGCUGGUUUCCUUAAGAAUGGAGAGGUUUGAUCUUCUUGCAGUCCAUGGGACUCUCAAGAGUCUCCUCCAGCACCAGAAUUCAAAAGCAUCAAUUCUUCCAAUCUGACUUAUCUGGCCCAACAAGUCCUCCCCCCUCACAAAUGCAAACAAACCCCGCUGCAGUCAACCACAGACAACCAACCCACCUUGCCCCUCAAUAUCUCUCAUUACCAAGGAAAUAUAAUAAACAAAUAGAAAGAGAAUCUACCCAGCUGACGCUGACACAAAACCCCGCACAUACACUAUACAAAAGAAUAUAAGCCUCCCCCCGCUCUUACCCCCUUCUUCCCCAACCUUAUGCCUCACAACAAAGGUAACUGAUUUGUAAGAAAGACUGUACAACCUGAUAAAAAGAGACAAGGUAUAUGCUUUCAUAAACCAAGAAAAUCUUUAAUAAAAAUUAAUUUUAAAAAAACUGGUAAAGUUUUAAGGAAAUGUAGUGGACUCCACCCAUGUUGUAUUAAGAAGCACAUCUCCACCCCCAUCAUUCAGCCCGGACACUGAGGUCCAGCUCCGAGGGCCUUCUGGCGGUUCCCUCAUUGUGAGAAGUGAGGUUACAGGGAACCAGGCAGAGGGCCUUCUCGGUAGUGGCACCCACCCUAUGGAACGCCCUCCCUCCAGAUGUCAAGGAGAUAAACAACUAUCUGAUUUUUAGAAAACAUCUGAAGGCAGCCCUGUUUAGGAAAGUUUUUAAUGUUUGAUGUUUUAUUGCUUUAUUGUUAUUAUCAUCAUCAUCAUCAUUAUCAUUCUGUUGGGAGCCGCUCAGAGUGGCUGGGGAAACCCAGCCAGAUGGGCGGGAUAUAUAUAUAUAUAUAUAUAUAUAUAUAUAUAUAUAUAUAACCACGGGUCUGGGCUUUGUUACUCUGUUCACUAAAUCUGGUCCUGGCCCAAAGGGCAUUUUCCAUUAUCAGAAUAAAAAAAAUGAGUCAAGUACAAAUUUUCUUGACUGUACUACAAUUUUUCCAUGGAACACGGACCACAGUUUGUGACCUUCUGCUCCAGGAGACAGUGUGGGAAAGUGUGCGAAUGAGGGAGUAAGCCCAUAUAUACAUAUGUUUGCAUCCAUAUACUGUACACAGGCAUUGCGGCAUCCUUCUUGAAAACAAAAGGUUUUCAAAGGCUUUUAAAUGGGCCACAGCUGUGGGGGUGCGUGUUGGUUCCAGCCCUUUCCUUCCCGCUCUGUUUGGGCUUUUGAUUUGCUGAUGGAGAAGGACCCCUUUGAAAUUCUUACACUUAACACAAGAGAAAGGCACAGCAGAGGUCAGGUCCUUGGGAGGUGGAAGCAGCAAGAGAGGAGGCCCAGCUGGUGGUGGGAAUGGGAGGGGCUAACAGGAGCCCCAGCCCUAUUGAUGGGCAAUGUUCAGUCCAAGCCAGUUGGGGUAGGGUGGGGGAUAAUGUGCCGAUGGCUCCGCCCUUGAUUUCAUCUGUGGUUUCUGGCUUGGAGACUGAAUAAUGAUGUCCUUUGGGAAACCUCUGGUUCUGUCUACAAAGAAUUAAGCUAUUAUUAAAAGACACCUGCUUCUUGGGAGAAAAGCAAUGACAAACCUAGACAGCAUCUUAAAAAGCAGAGACAUCACCUUGCCGACCAAGGUCCGUAUAGUUAAAGCUAUGGUUAUCCCAGUAGUGAUGUAUGGAAGUGAGAGCUGGACCAUAAAGAAAGCUGAUCGCCGAAGAAUGGAUGCUUUUGAAUUAUUGUUCUGGAGGAGACUCUUGAGAGUCCCAUGGACUGCAAGAUGAUCAGACCUAUCCAUUCUUAAGGAAAUCAGCCCUGAGUGCUCACUGGAAGGACAGAUCCUGAAGCUGAGGCUCCAAGACUUUGGCCACCUCAUGAGAAGAGAAGACUCCCUGGAAAAGACCCUGAUGUUGGGAAAGAUGGAGGGCGGAAGGAGAAGGGGACAACAGAGGACGAGAUGGUUGGACAGUGUUCUCGAAGCUACCAGCAUGAGUUUGACCAAACUGCGGGAGGCCUGGCGUUCUCUGGUCCAGGGGGUCACAAAGUGUCGGACACGACUAAACAACAACAACAUUAUUAUUAUUAUUAUUAUUAUUAUUAUUAUUAUUAUUAUUAGACUUUUCUAGUCAUCCUCACCUACAGAGCCUGGAUGGGCUACAGAAGUAUUUUAUAAUUUUACUGUUUGCUAGUUUAUAUAUCUAUUUAGAGGAUUUGUAGCCCGCUCUUCACCUGGAGAGCAUCCCAGAGAAGCUCUCAUGGAAUAAUUAAAAAAAAGGAGACAGUCCCUACCUGCAGGCUUAAAAUCUAAAAAAACAAAAACAGCACACAAGGGGAAAGGGACAGGGAGGGAAGAGGAAAGGCAAAAACCAAAACUCGGGCAUCAGUUUCUAAAUGGUUGUCCCUAUAUUGACCAGUUCAGGGACAGGAGGCUGGGCCUCAAGCAAACUGAUGGAGUGAGCCCAGCUUCCUCCCUCUCUCUCUGAAGUUGUCUGGUGGAAUGGCUGCCCCUAGAUGACAGCUAUGGGGAGAAGAGGCCUGAUGGGGGUGGCCUGUCACAGCAGAGCCGGUGGUGUGAGCUCUGCUUCCUGGCUCUCCCACUGCAGUUCAGGAAGAAAUGUUGAAUAGCGACCAGGGUUGAAAUCCCAGUGAAAUAAUGGGAUCAAAAUGUAUAAGUUCACAAACAUCAGGUAGCCAACGCUACACCUCUCUCCCCUGAAUUAAAAUGGGUGGCACCCUCUAUAACUGCAUCCAAAUAGGCUUUGCUUUUAGAGUGGGAAAGAGUAAGUGGGAGAAAUGUAAAGUAUUGCACUUGGGCAAAAAAAAUGAGAGGCACAAAUACAAGAUGGGUGACACCUGGCUUGAGAGCAGUACAUGUGAAAAGGAUCUAGGAGUAUUGGUUGACCACAAACUUGACAUGAGCCAACAGUGUGACGCGGCAGCUAAAAAAGCCAAUGCAAUUCUGGGCUGCAUCAAUAGGAGUAUAGCAUCUAGAUCAAGGGAAGUAAUAGUGCCACUGUAUUCUGCUCUGGUCAGACCUCACCUGGAGUACUGUGUCCAGUUCUGGGCACCACAGUUCAAGAAGGACAUUGACAAACUGGAACGUGUCCAGAGGAGGGCAACCAAAAUGGUCAAAGGCCUGGAAACGAUGCCUUAUGAGGAACGGCUAAGGGAGCUGGGCAUGUUUAGCCUGGAGAAGAGGAGGUUAAGGGGUGAUAUGAUAGCCAUGUUCAAAUAUAUAAAAGGAUGUCACAUAGAGAAGGGAGAAAGGUUGUUUUCUGCUGCUCCAGAGAAGCGGACACGGAGCAAUGGAUCCAAACUACAAGAAAGAAGAUUCCACCUAAACAUUAGGAAGAACUUCCUGACAGCAAGAGCUGUUCGACAGUGGAAUUUGCUGCCAAGGAGUGUGGUGGAGUCUCCUUCUUUGGAGGUCUUUAAGCAGAGGCUUGACAACCAUAUGUCAGGAGUGCUCUGAUGGUGUUUCCUGCUUGGCAGGGGGUUGGACUCGAUGGCCCUUGUGGUCUCUUCCAACUCUAUGAUUCUAUGAUUCUAAGAAUUAAAAACCUUUGGAGGAACUAGCCCCCUGUGUAUGUACACGAGUCACUGUUCUGGGCAUGCCUCAUGUUUGGGAAGAUGGAAGCGGAGUGCAGUGACUCAUUGAGAGACACAACCGCCACCCUCCUUUGACUGCAGGAGAUUCCUAUGUGCUUCUGCAUUGAAAGUGACUAAAUGAUUCAGAGGCAGAAGAAUUACCCAGUGGAAGCUGCUGAAUGGAAGGUCAGAGCAAUGAAUUGUUCUGAGACAAUGCAGUGAGACUGCUUUAUUUUGUUUGGGGUGUGUGUGUGUCUGUGCAUGUGUCGCAGGAGCUGUUCCUUGUUUGAUCUAUUUCUUUUUCAUGGCAUGCAGUUUUGGGAAUUACUGGCAUAAUUGUGUCAGCUUGAGCCCCAUAGAUGUCAAUGAGUUUCAAGCCCAUCCGUGACAUUUCCGUGCAUUGCACUGUUUCGCUUAGCUGGGCUCCCAGAAGGAAGAACUUCUUGUCCCCCUAGUGAAGUAAAAAACCCCAGACCGCUUCCUAGAUGCGUGUGAGUGUGUGCUUGUGUGUCCUAAACAUGACCCUCUCCAGAGGAAACAAAGGCUCUUGGCUCGGGAGGUGGUUUUGAUAUGUUCUUAAUCUCUUCUAAAGCACACCCUUCACCUCUGGGGUAUUGGGGACUUAUCGAUUGUAAUUAAAUCCCAAUGAACACCUUCCAGGACUUGUUUAUCACAGACAGGUGGCUUUCAUUGGUUCCUAAUUAGCGUAUUGAUCCUCAAGCUCGUAAUUAGAAGUUUCCUUUGAAAAUGGCCACCCAGCUGGUUUCACACGCCAAGUCUCUGGGAAGGACGGCACUGGCGCGGUUGCCGAUUCCUUCUGAGGUAAGCAGGGAGCCAAGUCGAUGGAAGAGAAUCAAUGUGGGGUUUGCCCCUCGCUCAACCAGAAUGUCUGCAAAAGGGAGAGAGGGAGAAGGGGCUUUAGGGAGUUCGGAUGACACCGGCCGCGGGAUUGGGCAUGCACUGGGGCCUCAUGACUGCUGAGCCCUGCCUGGAGAUGCUGAGGAUCAAACCUAGCACUGACCCAUGACCCUGAAGAUCAUGUGGUCCAAGCCCCUUCAAUGCAGGAAGAAGCAGCUGUCACAUAUGACGAUCAAACCUGUGACCUUGGCAUUAUCAGCACCAACUGAGUGAACAGUGCUGGGCUAGUAGAUAUACCUUUGGCAUUAUCCAACAGGCUUCUUCUUAGGUUUUUGGUUCCCCUGCCCCUCCGCCCCCCCCUGCCCUUGCCUCCCUUACAUCUCUAGUAACUCCACUGGAGAAAUGGGAGUCUCAGCAGAUGUAAAACCACUGUAAGCAAGCUCCAAAUCCAGCCAGGAGAAUGUAUUGGCAGACAUGUAAUUUUCACAAUCCAUCUCGACGGCCCUCUUACCUAAUAAUAAAUCAAUCACUGUGAUGGAUAACCAUUGCCGCCAACUGUAUUAUUAAUAGAUCAGGGGAGGCAUCCUUCAACUGGCAGGUGCUGGGAAUGGGAUCAAAAUCCCACCGCUGGGCGCUGGGCAAUUCCACUGCUAUUUUAUUUUGAUUAUUGCAGGAGUGGAAAUGUCUGAAGUUUACUUAAAUGGGGGUUAGGGGGGAGCCAACCAAACAAUCCACAUUUCGGAACAACUUCUUCCCAGCAAGUGCCACAGUUGGUCAAUGAUCAGGGAAGAAAUCUCUGAGCCACAGCUUCACAAAGGGACAGGAGUGGAUGUGUCACUUUUGGUUUCUCGUCUUUCCUAUCUUAAAUUCAGUUCUUCACAUUUCUGCAUCAGUUUGCUUUUUUUUUAAAAAAAGCCCUCAUGAAGAUCUUCAUGAUUUUAGAGUAAAUUUCUCCCAAUAUCUUUGAAUGCCUCCCCCCAAUAUAUACAUCGUUGCAUAGCAGUUUCCCAGAAAGCAAUGCAUUUUUGUAUGAUAUUUUCACUAACUUAUAUGCAUUUAUAGGACACUUUGGAUAUGUAUCUUUUGAUGUGCUACUUUUAAAAUAUUAAUAAUAAUAAUAAUAAUAAUAAUAAUCCACCCAUCUGGCUGGGUUCCCCAUGCCACUCUGGGCGGCUCCCAACCGAAUGUUAAAAACACAAUACAGCAUUAAACAUUAAAAACUGUUGGGAUACUGCCAGGGAGAUAAAGACCAUCAAGGCCCCCAAGCCGUCUGCCAGACGAUCCAUCGACCUCCCGUAGGCACGCAGCGACAUGAGUUUCUAGAAAAUAUCUUGCCACAUUCCAGAGCUCAUGCACACUCUAUCAGCAGAUAAUGCACAGCCAAAAGUUGCACUCAGGAGAGCAUUAUUUACAAGUUUAUUCAGCGUUGAUCAGAACACAGAAAAACAUGACUGCCUGCUUUAGUGUCUACGACACACAGAGAGAAAACGAAAGCAACAGAAAAACAUAAACAUCCUGUGAACAGGAAAUACGCAGACUCUGACUCACAAAGCCUGCUCCCUUUUAAGGUGGAACGGAAAUAUCCUAACAAAAACUUCCCUAACCAGGGCUGCCUUCAGAUGCCUACUUUGCUGGAGAAACUCAUUGCAAAAUUUGGACAAUGGCGAACUUUGAAGAAUAGCUGUGUUUCAGUUCACAUCCUGAGAGUCAGUGUGGUGUAGUGAUCAGAGUGUCGAAUUUCCUCUUUGGCGAUCCCUUGUAGAGGAGUAAGGUUGUCUUCCAUGAACACGGUCUUAACAUUGAGUCCGUAAGUGACUGUGGAGGCCAAUUCUGGAUCCACACGUCCUUCCACAGUGGGGACAUAAGUUUCCGGGCAGGAGUUGAUCAUGGUGAGGGGUUUGCCAAGCGUGCCUUCCUCUUAGCAUGUUUCUCCCUUUCGCCCUGAGUUUGGGCGUCUUCAAAGUCCAUGACACCUUUGGUAAAGACUGGACUUUGACUUGGGAGACCAGGGGCCACACCCUCACUUGCUACGAAGCUCACUGUAUGACCGGGGGCCAGCCACUGUCGCUCAUGAGUUUGACCAAACUGCGGGAGACAGUGGAGGACAGGAGUGCCUGGCGUGCUCUGGUCCAUGGGGUCACGAAGAGUCGGACACGACUAAACGACUAAACAACAACAACAAAGUCAGAUUGAUUCAUAUGCUGUUGGUGGAUUCUUGUUGUUGUCUUAUUGGGCUGUACAUGUGAUAAAGGGGAGCCCUACUGGGGUGAAGGCAUCCUCUUCUAUUUGUCUCUGUGUCAGCUUCAGUUUAUUGGCUAGCUUUUCUAUUAAGGCCAUUUCCCAUUGGUCCCUAUUUACUCCUGACUGGUCUCUCCAGUGUCUGGCUAUGAGGCUUCUGGAUGCUGAGAGUAGGUGGGUUAUGAGCUCUGCAUAAUGUGAGUGGUCAUUAUGAUCUUGGAAGUUGUUCAGUAGGGCCAGUUCUGGGGUGAGUUCUCAUACAUGUUUAGUUCUUUUGCAUAUCUCUUGUAGGACUGCUGUCCAGAAGGGUUGGAUUUUAGGGCAUUCCCACCACAUGUGGAGGGAUGUGCCUGUGGAGGUGCAGCCUCUCCAACAUCUUGGUGAGGUUCCUGGGCGUAUCAGCGCCAGUUUUCGUUGUGUAAAGUACCACGUGUAGGUGAAUUUCAGAGUGAGCUCCCUUCUUUUGGCUGAUAUAGACUUAAAUUGAGGUUUAGACCACAUUCUAGUCCAUUGGGUGGGGUUAAUUUCGUAGCUUAUGUUGUCCUUCCAUUGUUCUUUGAUUGCAUCAAGGGGGUUUGUCGGAUUUUGAAGCAGUAUUUUGUAUACUGUGGAUACUAUCCCUUUGCCGUGUCCCUCUGCUGUCAGGAGAAGGUUAGGGUUAGGGUCAAGGGCCUAGUGGCCCAAAGGUGGUCAAGGGCCUAGUGGCUGCUGACUUUUCUGCUGGAUUGUUUAAGAAAAAGUUUGCCAGUUAUUAAGGGGCCUUUCUCAGUGGCCUCAGUUUUGACAAUGAUGUCAAAACACAGCAGGGGUGGAGGGAGACUUAUUAAGUUGCCAGAAAGACCAGUAGAAUUUUUCAAAUGAUCCACAGAGGGGGGAAAGGUUUGAGAACCACCACACACUGCACCCCAAAUAAGAACAUUAGUGUUAAGUUGUGGGCGCACAUAUCAGACGACACAGCGAUUCUUCCAAAGCAGCUCUUUAUUUGUAAGCUGGAACAGAACUGAACAGCAAACAGCUCAGCCAGCCUGCUUUUAUAGGCAGCCGGCUGUCAACGUUGUAGCAACAACAUCCCAGGGUUUCCCGCCUAAAAUAACUGACGUGGACCUGAGUGAAAACUACAUACACGAUACUCCUGGUGGCCAGGGUGAGAACUGCAAUACAUAACACCCCUCCCCACCGAGAUAAGGGGUUAGUUACAAUCGUAAUGGUUUCCUUAUAUACAGCACUACACGUAAUGGUUCAAUUAGGCACAAAAGCAUAUCAGUUACAUUUCACAUACUUCCAUUAGACCAACAGUGUUACAUGUCCAACAACAUAGUCCUUUAAAUAUGGUCUACUGGCCUUGUGGAUUUCCUGGGUGGAGAGUUGAACAGCUUCUGAGGCCACGGCCUCCUCAGUGGCUUUCUGCCGCGUGAGGUCUGGCUUGGCAAGGAGAUGCCGUUGCAGACGGAUGUCCCGGACCCCGCAGACGAUUCGAUCCAUCAGGGCAUCGUCUAAGUCUCGGAACUCGCAGCGCACUGCAGCCUGUUGGAGGGCGGCGGUGUAGUUGUUAAUUGACUCUCCCUCUGCCUGGUUCCGGUGGUAGAACGCACGGCGGGCAGCAAUCUUGGAUGGCUUUGGGGCGUAGUGGUUGCGGAGCUUCUCUUGAAUCGUGUCCCAAGGUGCUGCCUGGACUGCUAGAGGCACAACCAAUGCUCGGGCCGUCGCGAACGCUUCGGGGCCACAAAGGCUGAGGAGAGGCCCCGCUUCUGCUCUACAGACCCUCUUGUCAGCUCAUUUGCUUGGAGGUAGCAGUCAAACCGAGCGAGGUAGGAGUCCCAUGAUUCAGAGGCUGGGGCAAACGGCGGUAGAGGCAUGAGUGAAGCCAUGGUUCCGAUGCCGGCAUGGAGGGCGAUGGAUGGAACACUGUGCUCUAGCCAGAACAGUCAGCUCUGAAUUGGUUCUACUCUGUGAUUUCGCUCAGUGUUUCAGCUCCGUGAUUCAGCUCAUCUCAGAGGGUGGCCGCAUCUGGCUGUGCUCUGUUGUCCAUCGAUCCCAUCCUCGUCGCCAGAGUUAAGUUGUGGGCGAACAUAUCAGACGACACAGCGAUUCUUCCAAAGCAGCUCUUUAUUUGUAAGCUGGAACAGAACUGAACAGCAAACAGCUCAGCCGGCCUGCUUUUAUAGGCAGCCGGCUGUCAACAUUGUAGCAACAACAACCCAGGGUUUCCCGCCUAAAAUAACUGACGUGGACCUGAGUGAAAACUAUAUACACGAUACUCCUGGUGGCCAGGGUGAGAACUUCAAUACCUAAGGAUUAGCGAAUGAUAUAACAUUAGAGCUCAGCAACUCUUGAGUUCCACUAUAAGCAAAGGAUUGGGUCAAAUAUAUAGGCAUGGAGAACCUGUGGCCCUCCAGAUAUUGUCAAACUGCAGCUCACAUCGGCUUCAGCCAGCAUGGCCAAUGGCCAGGGAUGAUGGGAGAUUUAGCUCAGGAUGCAAGGUCCUGGAAAUCUUGAUGUCCAGCUUAUCUGCAUGGUUCUUUUUCCUAAAUUGUCUCACUACUUCAUCCUGAGAAUUAAGUGAGUCAUUCCAACCCCCAUCCACCACUAGUUCUGUUAAAAAUAUGACCCAUUCUCAUAUACAGUAGUGCCUCGCAAGACGAAAAGAAUCCGUUCCGCGAGUCUCUUCGUCUUGCGGUUUUUUCGUCUUGCGAAGCAAGCCCAUUAGCGGUUUAGCAGAUUAGCGCUAUUAGCGGCUUAGCGGGCUUAGCGAUCAGCUGUUAAGCGGCUUAGUGGCUUAAUGGAUCAGCUGAUAAGCAGCUUAGCGGCUUGGGAAAAAGGGGGGGGAGGAAAAAAACCCCGCAGGAACUUGCGAAGCAAGCCCAUAGGAAAUUCGUUUUGCGAAGCACCUCCAAAACGGAAAACCCUUUCGUCUAGCGGGUUUUCCGUCUUGCGAGGCAUUCGUCUUGCAGGGCACCACUGUAUGCAUUAUCUUACAAACUAUAGUCUAUGUAAAUUAUAUGAAUACACACUCCAGGUUCCCUAAAACAACCAGCACAUAAACAGAUACAUACAAUAAUGCAUAUAUUUAUAUAAAUAAGGUAAAGGUAAAGGUACCCCUGCCCGUACGGGCCAGUCUUGCCAGACUCUAGGGUUGCGUGCUCAUCUCGCUCUAUAGGCCGUGAGCCGGCGCCAUCCGAAGAAACUUCCGGGUCACGUGGCCAGCGUGACGAAGCUGCAGCUGGCGAGCCAGCAUCAGGGCCGCACACGGAAACGCCGUUUACCUUCCCGCUAUAAAGCGGUACCUAUUUAUCUACUUGCACUUAAGAGUGCUUUCGAACUGCUAGGUGGGCAGGAGCUGGGACCGAACGACGGGAGCUCACCCCGCCGUGGGGAUUCGAACCGCCGACCAUACGAUCAGCAAGUCCUAGGCGCUGAGGUUUUACCCACAGCGCCACCCGCGACAUUUAUAUAAAUACAUAUAUAUUAAUAUAAAGUUAUGCUGAAGAGGUUUUUAAAAAGGUAAAGGACCCCUAGACAAUUAAGUCCAGUCAAAGGCGACUAUAGGGUUGCGGCGCUCAUCUCGCUUUCAGGCCGAGGGAGCUGGUGUUUGUCCACAGACAGCUUUCCGGGUCAUGUGGCCAGCUUGACUAAACAGCUUCUGGUGCAACGGGACACCACCAGAGCGCACGGAAAUGCCGUUUGCCUUCCUGCGACAGCAGUACCUAUUGAUCUACUUGCACUGGUGUGCUUUCAAACUGCUAGGUUGGCAGGAGCUGGGACCAAGCAACGGGAGCUCACCCUGUUGCGGGGAUUCGAACCACCGACCUUCUGAUUGGCAAGCCCAAGAGGCUCAGUGGUUUAGCGUCACAGUGCCACCCGCAUCCCAUUUACCUUUUAUGCUAAAGAAAAUGUAGCCUAGCAUGGGGCUGCACAAAUUUCAUACCUAUCACAUGAGUACUUUGCAUAUAAUUGGUCGGGCUUUUGCUUUUUUAAAAAACGCAACCAGUAAGAGCAUAUGAAGAGCAUUGUUGGAUCUGGCCAAUGGGCCGCCCAGCGCAGCAACCUGUUCUUCAGAUGCCCAUGGGAUCUGCUGAGACACAAACAGGCACAUUUAUCAUUUGCCUGAUAAUAAAUGUUGGAAAUGUAAAGAAAAUGAAGGUACUUUUUUUCACCUUUGGUGGACGUGCCCAAAGAUCAAGGCCUUCUGGGAAAUGAUAUAUAAUGAACUAAAAAAGGUAUUGAAAUAUACUUUCUUGAAGAAACCAGAGGCCUUCCUCUUGGGCAUGGUCGGUCAAUUGGUGCGAAGGGAAGACAGGAAUUUCUUUAUGUAUGCGACAGCAGCAGCAAGAAUACUCAUUGGGAAAUACUGGAAGACACAAGAAUUGCCCACCCGAGAAGAAUGGCAGAGAAAAGUGAUAGACUAUAUGGAACUGGCUGAGAUGACCGGCAGAAUUCGAGAUCAGGAAGAAGGGUCGAUGGAAGAAGAUUGGAAAAAUUUAAAACAUAUCUUCAGAAAUACUGUAAUAUAAAAGAAUGUUAGAAAAGGUUGGAGAAGAAUAUUAGACCGUAUUGGCAGACAGAGUAUAAUGGAAUAAGUAAAUAUGAGGUGUAAAAGAUAGAGGAGAAUUAAAUAUUUUUGAAUGUUAAAAUAAGUAAAUGAAAAGAAGGUUAGAAGGAUUUGCUGGAGAUACGAUUUGAAUUAGAAUACAAAGCAGAGAAGUGAGAGGAAGUCACGGAAAUAAGUAAAUGGGAAAAUGGUUCUAAUGGUUUAAUUUGAUUUUUUUUGUUACUUUGUUAUUGUGAUUUUUUGUCUUGUGUAUUUUUCUUUGUAUUGUGUGUUUUUCUUGUAGGAUGUAUGUGAUUUGUAGGAUGUAUGUGAUUUGUUUUUCUUUUUUACUUUUUUCUUUUUCUGUAAUCUUAAAAUUGGAAUAAAUAUUCUUUAAAAAAAAAAAAGACAGACACAAACAGGCACUACUUGAUACAAGAGACAGUCGGUGAUGAGCUAAGCUUAUCAGGUCAGCACUGCCGAAGUCUGCACAUUAAACCAUUUAAAAUACAUUUCUCCUCCAUCUCCAACAUCCAGAAGGCAGCAGUUUGCCCUCACCUGCAGCAUACCUUACUUGCUCGUGGACUUUUUGAAAGCUGUCAGGCUGACCUCUGGUGGAAGGAGAAUGCUGGACGAAGUGAGCCUAUGGUUUACCAUCAUGGGAGGGGUGUUUCUAGGACGAAGGUAAAACUGUGAAGCUCCCUUGUUAUUUUUGCUGCAUGUUGGAUGCAGCAAAGUCACCUUGCUAUAGUAUUCAAAUAUGGGUGUGUGUGUGUUUUACAUGUUAUUAUAUCUGUUGUUGUUUGGAUGUUGCUAUGCAACUGUUAGGGACGCGGGUGGCGUUGUGGGUUAAACCACAGAGCCUAGGACUUGCCGAUCAGAAGGUCGGCAGUUCGAAUCCCCAUGACGGGGUGAGCUCCCGUUGCUCGGUCCCUGCUCCUGCCAACCUAGCAGUUCGAAAGCACGUCAAAGUGCAAGUAGAUAAAUAGGUACCGCUCCGGCGGGAAGGUAAACAGCGUUUCCAUGCGCUGCUCUGGUUCGCCAGAAGUGGCUUAGUCAUGCUGGCCACGACCCGGAAGCUGUACGCCAGCUCCCUCGGCCACUAAAUCAAGAUGAGCGCCGCAACCCCAGAGUCGGUCACGACUGGACCUAAUGGUCAGGGGUCCCUUUACCUUUAUGCAACUGUUACUAUUUUAUUAUGAAAUUGCUUUUGUAGUGUUUGUUUGAAAAGCGUACCUGAUUUGUUUGCGAUUCUUUGUAAGCUGCUUUGAGCACGAUUUUGCGUGUGGAAAAGCAGAAUACAAAUAAAAAGGGGGAAUGAAUGAACUGGCGUGGUUUAAUCAGUGCCAUUGAUCUGGAGGGGGGGCAGCUGCCCCCCUGGCUAUGCCCUUGCAUCCAGGUGCUGGCUACCUGUUGAUGAUGGGCACCUUCAAUGCCCCUCCUGCUCUCCCUUAGGGUUCUUGAUUUUCAUGGAAUCAUAGAAGGCACCCCAAAGGUCACCCCAGCAAUGCAGGAAUCUUUUGCUCAACAUGGGGAUCAAACCCACAACCCUGAGAUUAGGAGUUCCGUGCUCUACCGACUGAUUUUAAAUUGAACUCUUGAGCCAGACAUCUCUUCAGAUGGAGGGCUGCACCCUAUAAAGCAUAUCGCACGGCCACCUUACCUCUCGUAAAGAAGACGGAUGCCUUCCAGCCGCAGCUGCCUCGCUUUUCUGCCCCGCUGAGUAGCCUUUGCUCCAAACAGCUCAGCAGGCCGGCUGACUUCAAGGCCUGAAUAUGUAACAAGGUCGGAGCACUGCAGAACUGUCCUUUCGUCCAAGGCCUUCAAAGCAAAACUCGAUCCAUCAUGGUGGGGCAGCAGCCAAGGAGUCACGCGAGGAGAGGUUUCGGCCUGGAGUCCCUGGCAUCAUAGGAUGGUGCCUGCUUCUGCUGAAGGUUGGACUCUUCUCUUUGGCACCAUUUCAUUUCAUGUAGCAUCCACAGAUCUAUAUCGGGUGACAGCCUUCGGUGACACCAGAACCAGCUCCAAAAGGAAAACCCACAGUCAAUGGGACAGGCCUCCCCCACCUCCAAACUUGGGUGGACUUAGUCUUGGAUUGUCUGUGUUAAGUUGUGGGUGAACAUAUAAUGAUAAAUGAUAAUGAUUAAAAAAAAAAAAAAAAAAAUUUAUUGUCAUUGUCCGUAUAUACACAGUAUACACAACAACGAAAAUCAAACACCCACUCGAAGACCGGGUUCACAUACACAUUUGCACGUAUCUCCAACACUCUCAUCCUAUUCAGACAUAAUCUAUAAAAACAUAUCAUACUCCAGAAUGUAACAUAACCUAUUAAAAGCAUAACAUAACCUAAAACCUGUCUCAUUCCUUCCUACUCCCUGCUUGCUAUUUCUUGCAACUGGCCCUGAGAUCAUUAUUUAGUGCAAUCAGAGCUCUUGGAUAGAAACUAUUCAGAAGGCGUGUGGUUCGUGUUUUCAUUGUCCUAUAUCUUCUGCCCGAAGGCAACAGUUCAAAGAAGUUGUGAGCAGGAUGGGUGGGAUCUCUCAGGAUAUUGUGUGACUUCUUCAAAGUGCGAGACGUGAAGAUCUCAUCCAGGGUUGGUAGUUGGAGCCCAAUAACAUUCUGGGCAAUUUUAAUUAUUCUCUGUAAAGCUUUUUAUCCGUUUCAGAGCUGCUCCCAUACCACGAUAAUAUACUAUAUGUUAAGACACUCUCGAUGGUACUGUGAUAAUAGGACAGAAGUAGGUGCUGAGAUAGAUUCAGUCCCCUGAGCAUUCUCAGGAAAUACAACCUCCCCUGCACCUUCCUCACAACCAUAUUAAUAUUUACAGUCCAUGAGAGGUCCUCAGAGAUGUAAGUGCCCAGGUAUUUAAAACUACCAACCCUCUCCACCUCCUCGCCAUUUAUGUGCAAUGGUAAAAAUACGCUUUUCUUUCUCCUAAAGUCAAUUAUGAGUUCUUUGGUUUUUUUGGUGUUAAGCAUAAGAUUGUUUUCUUUACACCAUUGAAUUAACCCCUGUACUUCUUUCCUAUAAGCAGUCUCAUCGUUCUCACUAAUGAGCCCCACCACUGUUGUAUCAUCCGCAAAUUUGAUGAUUGUGUUGGACUCAUACAGUGGGUGCAAUCAAAUGUGUACAGGGAAUAGAGAAAGGGACUUAGCACACAUCCCUGAGGGCUCCUGUGCUUAAUACUAGAGUAGAAGAAUAGUAAGGGCCCAUUCUCACUGUCUGCGGCCUAUCAGUCAGGAAAUUCCUUACCCACAGACAGAUCUUCUGAUGUAUACCCAAAUUGGUCAUUUUAAGAAAUAACCUGUCUGGCAGAAUUGUAUUGAAGGCAGAACUGUAGUCCACAAACAACAGCCUUGCGUAGGUUCCCUGUCGUUCUAGAUGACUCAGUACAGUAUGGACAGCGAUGGAAAUAGCAUCAUCAGUAGAUCUAUUUCUUCUGUAUGCAAACUGGAACGGGUCUAGAGUGGAUGGAAGACCAGCCUUAAUAUGAUCUAGCACCAAUCUCUCAAAACAUUUCAUAACGACAGAUGUUAAGGCUAUUGGUCUAUAGUCAUUGAGAGAUACCACCACUGACUGCUUGGGGACUGGCACUAUAAUCGAUGUCUUCAGGCAGGUAGGGACAGAACCCUGCAACAGGGAUAGAUUAAAAAUGUCCGUAAACACACCAGCUAAUUCUGCAGCGCAGUCCCUAAUAGCCCGUCCCAUGAUUCCAUCCAGUCCAGCUGCCUUCCUAAUGUCAAUGCUCCAGAAGGCACGUUGUACGUCACAGGUCUGUAAUAAAAAUGGUUGUCUAUCAGUAGUAGUUUCUGAUGAUGUGCUGGUAGCCAAUGCUGUAGUGACGGUAGUUCCAGUUCCCACCUCAAAGCGACUAAAAAAUUGAUUCAGUUGAUCAGCCAGGUGCGCACUGCUGCUAGCCAGUUCGUUUUUAAUAUUUUGCCCUGUAAUUUGUCGCAGGCCUUGCCAUACUGACGAGGGUCGGAGCUCUCAAAAUGUUUUUCGAUCCUCCGGCAGUACAUAGCUUUGGCGUUCCUAAUGCCCUUUUUCAAUUUGGCUCUGGCUUCUAUACUGUUGCGCAUCACCAGAGUGAAAAGCAGCAUUUCUUGCCUUUAACAGAAGAUACACAUCCCUGUUUAGCCAGGGCUUGUUGUUAGGGAACACCCGUAUUUGUUUGGUGGUAGUGACAACAUCAAUGCAGCUUUUAACGUAGAACAGUACUGUUGAAGCGUAUGUGUCCACAUUAUUCUCCACAAAGAGCGACCACUCGGUGCUCCGAAAGCAAUCUUGAAGUUGCUCAGAUGCACCUACUGGCCACACUCGUAUCUCUCUAGUUGAUGGUCUAAUUCUGCGUACUGAGAGGUCUAUAUGAUGGUAUCAUAAGUAAAGAUAUGUGGUCUGACUGCCCCAAAUUGGGCAAGGGCUUGGUCUUGUAUCCAUGCAUGAUGUUACUAUAUACUCGGUCCAGGGUAUUUCCCCCCCUAGUGGGACAAUCAACAUACUGGUGGAACUUAGGGAGCACAGUUCUUAAAUCGGCUCGGUUAAAAUCACCAGCAACCACAAAUGCUCCAUCCGGGUGGGCCACCUGCUAACUGCUAGUUAGCAGGUGGCCCAUAGCUGUAGUAGUGUUUGCAUCGGGAGGUAUAUACACCGCUGUUAUUAUAACAACAUUAAACUCACGUGGCAAAUAAAAAGGGCGGCACUUCACCACUAGGUACUCCAAGUCAGGAGAGCAAUGCGUGUCCAUUUGUUUGAUGUCCGAGCUCCAGUUGUUAUUUAUAUAAACGCAAAUUCCUCCUCCUCUGCUCUUCCCGGAUUCGGCGGUUCUAUCCGCUCUAAUUACUGAGCGUCCUUCUAGCUGCAGAAGUCCCUGUGGAAAGGAGGGAUCCAGCCACGUCUCUAGAAGGACCAUAACACAGCAGUCCCGGAUACUUUUCUGCCGAGAGGUAAUAAGUUCCAACUCCUCUACCUUGUUGGGUAAGGAUCUCACAUUUGAUACAAGGAGACUUGGCAAUGCAGGCUUGUGGGGAUUUUUACCUAGCCUCACUCGUAGACCAGCCCUGCAACCCCUCUUCUGCUUGCGCCCUCCGUUUUCUUUUCUUUCUGGCAAGGAGAGCAAGGGGAGUAUCCCAAGAAUGUGCAAAAUAUGGAGGCUCUCUGAUAAGCUCAGCUGGAAUGUUAUAGGUUGAGACCUCCUGGCUGCAACCUUCUCCUCUGCCGAUACUUAAGAGCUCUUGACGACUAUAAAUUACUUGUGCCUGAGUAUUCACAGUCCCUAGCAGCAAUAAGUUCACAAAUAAAAAUAAAACACAAAUCACUGAAUACCGGUCUUCGGAGUGCCGAGCCGCUGCAAGUGCUUGCGCCGCCAUCUUAGCUCUCCCGCCAUAUAUCAGACGACACAGCAAUUCUCCAAACAGCUCUUGUUUAUUCAGAGGCCAGAACAGAACUGAACUGAAGGGUUCAGCCAGCCUGCUUAUAUAGAGCUCCAGUACAUCGUAACUGUAACAACUUUCUGUAACUAUCCAAUCACUGAUCCAAUCACUUUCGAUCCCUUAUUUGCAUAUGUGGACCUGAACUAUCUACAGUAUCCCCCGGCUGGCCCAGGGUGAGAACUUCAGUACAUAACAGUCUGCCUCUACCAUUUUGUAGGCAUUUGGGUUCUGGUGGCCUGAAGGCGAUGGCCGGCCCCACAGGUUACAAAGUGAGAGAGUGGUCUGGACUUCUCCAGGACACCACCACUUUAUAGUGCUGUUUUGGCACCCAAAUUGGUACCUCGUGCCACCUGACCCCUGUAGGGUUUUGGGAGCGCAGUACCUGACCACCUGCAGCGCUGCCGCUGCGGAACUGCUAAGGUUAGAAAAGCCAUAGCUUCUGUUUUACCUGCCAUACUGGGGUUGAAGGAGUAAGGUGCCCCAGCCCCAUUGCCAAGAGACCAGAGUUUGAGCCUGAUGGCUCACAGCACAACCUGAUACGUAAUGCAUUGUGGAUUUUUAAGGGAUAUUCAUGGAGAGCUUUCAUGCAUGUCAUAGGUCAUGGGUAGGCAAACUAAGGCCCAGGGCCCGGAUCCGGCCCAAUCGCCUUCCAAAUCUGGGCCACGGAUGGUCCGGGAAUCAGCGUGUUUUUACAUGAGUAGAAUGUGUGCUUUUAUUUAAAAUGCAUCUCUGGGUUAUUUGUGGGUCAUAGGAAUUCGUUCACCCCCCCAAAAAAAAAUAUAGUCUGGCCCCCCACAAGUUCUGAGGGACAGUGGACCGGCCCCCUGCUGAAAAAGUUUGCUGCCCCUGCCAUAAGUGAUAUACGCGGGCAUAUUGGUGCCCUUGGGCAUCCUGUUGGCAACUCCUAAUCCACAAACAAGAUGUACACAAGGUUGCACUUAUAAAAAGCACAGGAACCUUCUCAGGCUUUGGAUCAAGAACCAAAAUAAACCCACAACACCUCACACCCAAGUUAUUCCUAAUAUAUCUUUCCUUAAUCUCUGCCGAUUCCCCCUCUAACAUCAUGCAAAUCUUUUUAAAUACUCUUACACAUAUUGUCAAGGCAGUAGCCCCUCCCUCCCCCAAGCUGGGCGAAAGAAUUCCUCGACUUCAGUAGCAACCUUUAUUUUUAAAAUUCAUGCAAACUCCCCACCCCCCACCCCAUCUCCCAGUGCAGCCUUGAUUAAUGAUCAGAGCUUGGGAGAGAGAGAGAGAAUUAAACUCACAGAGAGAGAAAUAUAGUGGGUGAGUAGAGAACACUGGGCCAUGAAUAGAAUGGAGAUUUUAACUCGUUGCUAGCUGCAUGGAAGCCACAGGACUGGAAUCUCUUCGGCUGGGGUAGGAACACUAUUUGAUUAGUGGGGGGAGCCCACCUGAGUCCCACUGCGCUAUGAUUUUGACCUCUCGCUUCUCUUUCUAUUCCAGCAUGCAUUUAUUAUUUUAGCGUGUUUCUCUCUCCCUUUCCUCCUCCAGGGACCUCACGGGACACACACACAACCCUCUUCCUCCAAUUUAGCCAUGCAACAACCCUGUGAGGUAGGUGACACUGAAAGAUGGCAACUUGCCCAAGAUCGCACAGUGUUCUGUGCCCCCACCCCAGUUGAAGACGGACUCUGCAUUUGAGGGUUACAUCCCCUCCAACUAUGGAGGUUAUAGUCUACCAUUUGGCUUCAGUCGACUUAUUUUGUCUAGCACACCACCACAAAUGUUGUCUAGUACACACUCACAGAUUAAUCCAGGUACAAGAAUUCACCAGGCAAUGUCCCUCCAAAUAAUUGUGAUAGAUAGAUAGAUCGAUGAUAGAUAGAUAGAUAGAUAGAUAGAUAGAUGAUAGAUAGAUAGCAUGGUGGAAUUUAAAGCUGCCAUUGCAUGUUGUCUGUAGUGCUCUUGCUGGUCUUUGGGGGGGCGGACUCUUGCCAACUGAAAGCAUUUUCAGUUGAAAACUGGUCUUUACAUGUUGUCUUGCAAACAUUUUGCAGGUUUUCUUUAUACAGUGGUAGCUCGGGUUAAGUACUUAAUUUGUUCCGGAGGUCCGUUCUUAACCUGAAACUGUUCUUAACCUGAAGCACCACUUUAGCUAAUGGGGCCUCCUGCUGCUGCCGCGCCACCAGAGCACGAUUUCUGUUCUCGUCCUGAAGCAAAGUUCUUAACCCGAGGUACUAUUUCUGAGUUGGUGGAGUCUGUAUCCUGAAGCGUAUGUAACCUGAAGCGUAUGUAACCCAAGGUACCACUGUAUUUCCAAACCACUUAGAAGUCUAUUGUGCCAUUAAGCCCACCCAAAAAGUAUACACAUUAAUAAAUUAUUACUGCUGUUAUUAUUAUUUUGAGGACAAAGAUGGGCAAAAUAUUCUCCCCUCAAAAUCCUUGCUCCCUUUCUUUUGCCGCCCCUUUAUUCCUCAAUCGGGUCACCGUUAUUUUCUUUUAACUGCAUCUUUUCACUGCUGAGAGCAGUGACCCAGCCAAUCGGGAAUUUGCAGUGAGUGCAAUAUUGCCAUGAUGCCAGCUACGUAGCCAAUCAGAUUUGGUUAUGCAAUGAUGUUACAAAGCCACCUGAGAGUGAAGGCAAUGCUUCCUGCCUCAGGAUUGUCCUCACUCAGAACUAGGGGGUAUUUUGGCUCUCUUUUCCCAGUCACCCCCUUCCCAGCCACAACUGAAACACAAGGCAGUUUUCCAAGCUGAUCAAACUUUCAGCAAAAGCUGCUCCCCCUUUUGGCUCUUUCCUAGAAGAUGCUUUAGUCAGUUCUCUUCCCCGGAAUGUGCAAGGCAGGAAGUCCGUGCACACUUGUUUUCUCAAGGCAGGCUCCCAUUUAUUUAGCAAGACACGAGUUGGGUAAAUUAAAUUUCCCUUGAUAAACAAGAGGGGAGGUCCAGUUACAUUGCUGAAGAAACGGCACACACACACAAAAAGCAGGAGGAUGAGAUAAUUCAAGGCAUUACGGAAGAUAGUCAGGGAUCAUUUAAAACGAGGCUGAUGUGCAAAGCGCUUAAUUUGUGGGUAUAUGUGGUGAUUUACAUAAAGGAAAAGACAGAUCCCAGCUUGAAGGAGCUUGCGGCCUACAUCCCAGCCUCAUUUGCCCUCCAGAACAAAACUAAGGAUGUAGCUAAAAGUUGGCAAAUGACCACAGAUGGGCCAGGCUGGCGCCUGUGCCAUUCAGGUAGUAGAUGACCUUCGGGGUAACCCUUCCAGUUCUACAAUUCUAUGAUUCUAUGAAUGCUGCUGGGCCUGCCAAAAUCAGCCACUGUUGACAGAACUGGCAAAGAGCAAUAUCAGCUGCUAAUGGGCGCAGACCAAACAGGGGGGAAAGCAGAGGAGCAGGUAAAAAAAAAAAAGUUGGCAAUGCUGGAACUAUGUUCAUAGAGUCAUAGACUGUAGAGUUGGAAGGGACCACAAGGGUCGUCUAGUCCAACCCCCUGCAAUGCAGGAACCUUUGGACCAAUGUGGGGCUCGAACCCAUGACCCUAAGGUUAAGAGUCUCAUGAUCUACGAACUGAUUAAUUAAUCAGAGAGGUUUUUUUUUGACUAAGCAGUUUCCAAAUCUUUCUAAAUAAAUAAAUAAAUAAAUUCUGCUUAUUUAACUUAUAUGCAGAAUUCAUCAUGCGAAAGGCUGGGCUGGAUGAGUCCCAAGCUGGAAUUAAGAUCGCCGGAAGAAUAUCAACAACCUCAGAUAUGCAGAUGACACAACCUUGAUGGCAGAAAGUGAGGAGGACUUAAAGAACCUUUUAAUGAGGGUGAAAGAGGAGAGCCCAAAAUAUGGUCUGAAACUCAACAUCAAGAAAACAGAGAUCAUGGCCACUGGGCCCAUCACCUCCUGGCAAAUAGAAGGGGAAGAAAUGGAGGCAGUGAGAGAUUUUACAUACUUGGGCUCCAUGAUCACUGCAGAUGGUGACAGCAGUUACAAAAUUAAAAGACGCCUGCUCCUUGGUAGAAAGGCGAUGGCAAACCUAGACAGCAUCUUAAAAAGCAGAGACAUCACCUUGCCAACAAAGGUCCAUAUAGUUAAAGCUAUGGUUUUCCCGGUAGUGAUGUAUGGAAGUGAGAGCUGGACCAUAAAGAAGGCUGAUCGCCGAAGAAUGGAUGCUUUUGAAUUAUGGUGCUGGAGGAAGCUGAGGCUCCAAGACUUUGGCCACCUCACUAGAAGAGAAGCCUCCCUGGAAAAGACCCUGAUGUUGGGAAAGAUGGAGGGCACAAGGAGAAGGGGACGACAGAGGACGAGAUGGUUGGACAGUGUUCUCGAAGCUACCAGCAUGAGUCUGACCAAGCUGCGGGAGGCAGUGGAAGACAGGAGUGCCUGGCCUGCUCUAGUCCAUGGCGUCACGAAGAAUCGGACAUGACUAAACGACUAAACAACAACUAUUCUCAUUUUACGAACUAGGAAAGAGGGAGGCUUCCCCAAGGCUAGACCAUCUCUUUUUUGUUAAGGUCAUUUUUAAAAAAGUGUUCCUUUCUCUACAUAUAACCAUUAUAAUUAGGAGACUCAGCCUGGUGCAAGCAAAACACUAUCUGCUCCAGCCAGCAGGGUGUAAAGUACUAUCUUCUGCAAGUCCCUAGAGAUUCCCUAACAUUAUUACUUCCCGACAUUAUUAGCAGCUAUUCUAACUGCUCCAUCAACUGUUAAUUCAGUGAGAGCUAUAGGGAAAUCCAUGCAGACUCUAUCCACCACAAAAGGAAUGUUGAGGACCAAAUGCACAAUUCACAUGUAUGACAAAGCUGUGUUGCUGCAACCCUUUCUAAGAGUUUCAGGAGGGAUAAAUUUGGAGCACAGAAGUGGCAGGAGGAAGGACAGAAGGGAGUGCAUGGGAAGUAGAAAAACAAUUCAUCAGGGGCCCCAACUCGUUUCUUUUCCAAUUUCCCCAUUCACAAACUGCAUUUCUUCCCUCACCCUUUUAAGUAGUUAUCUGGACUCUGUAACAUGCAUUUGCAUAGCCAGGCCUUUAGUGUAGUGUAAGGUUACCAGAUUUUUUCCCCCAAUGAAUCCGGGGACACUUUUCAACUUCAAUGGAUUCAAUGGAUGGGGACUGAUUUGUAAAUCCGGGGACUGUCCCUGGGAAAUGGGGACGUCUGGUAACCUUGUUGUUGUUGUUUAGUCGUUUAGUCGUGUCCGACUCUUCGUGACCCCAUGGACCAGAGCACGCCAGGCAUUUCUGUCUUCCACUGCCUCCCGCAGUUUGGUCAAAUUCCUGCUGGUAGCUUCAAGAACACCAUCCAACCAUCUCAUCCUCUGUCGUCCCCUUCUCCUUGUGCCCUCCAUCUUUCCCAACAUCAGGGUCUUUUCCAGGGAGUCUUCUCUUCUCAUGAGGUGGCCAAAGUAUUGGAGCCUCAGCUUCACGAUCUGUCCUUCCAGUGAGCACUCAGGGCUGAUUUCCUUAAGAAUGGAUACGUUU